AUUUUGGACAAUGGGGGCAACCCUGAUCCAGCCAUCCCGCGUGUGCGAUGAAGGCNUUNNGGUUGNANAGCGCUUUUGGCAGGNNNNNAAAGCCACCGGUUAAUACCUGGUGGUGCUGACGGUACCUGCAGAAUAAGCACCGGCUAACUACGUGCCAGCAGCCGCGGUAAUACGUAGGGUGCAAGCGUUAAUCGGAAUUACUGGGCGUAAAGCGUGCGCAGGCGGUUCGGCAAGAAGGAUGUGAAAUCCCGGGGCUUAACCUCGGAACUGCAUUCUUAACUGCCGGGCUAGAGUAUGUCAGAGGGGGGUAGAAUUCCACGUGUAGCAGUGAAAUGCGUAGAGAUGUGGAGGAAUACCGAUGGCGAAGGCAGCCCCCUGGGAUGAUACUGACGCUCAUGCACGAAAGCGUGGGGAGCAAACAG
rnacentral:rRNA from 1 species